rnacentral:rRNA from 1 species
CCUACGGGAGGCAGCAGUGGGGAAUAUUGGACAAUGGGGGCAACCCUGAUCCAGCCAUGCCGCGUGUGUGAAGAAGGCCCUCGGGUUGUAAAGCACUUUCAGUGAGGAAGAACGCCUGGUGGUUAAUACCCAUCAGGAAAGACAUCACUCACAGAAGAAGCACCGGCUAACUCCGUGCCAGCAGCCGCGGUAAUACGGAGGGUGCGAGCGUUAAUCGGAAUUACUGGGCGUAAAGCGCGCGUAGGUGGCUUGAUAAGCCGGUUGUGAAAGCCCCGGGCUCAACCUGGGAACGGCAUCCGGAACUGUCAAGCUAGAGUGCAGGAGAGGAAGGUAGAAUUCCCGGUGUAGCGGUGAAAUGCGUAGAGAUCGGGAGGAAUACCAGUGGCGAAGGCGGCCUUCUGGACUGACACUGACACUGAGGUGCGAAAGCGUGGGUAGCAGACAGGAUUAGAUACCCCGGUAGUC